CGGAAAGAAAGAUGUGAAAUCCCAGGGCUCAACCUAGAGAACUGCAUACUCAACUGCCGAGCUAGAGUAUGUCAGAGGGGGGUAGAAUUCCACGUGUAGCAGUGAAAUGCGUAGAUAUGUGGAGGAAUACCGAUGGCGAAGGCAGCCCCCUGGGAUAAUACUGACGCUCAGACACGAAAGCGUGGGGAGCAAACAGGAUUAGAUACCCUGGUAGUCCACGCCCUAAACGAUGUCAACUAGCUGUUGGGGCCGUUAGGCCUUAGUAGCGCAGCUAACGCGUGAAGUCGACCGCCUGGGGAGUACAGUCGCAAGAUGAAAACUCAAAGGAAUUGACUGGGACCCGCACAAGCGGUGGAUGAUGUGGAUUAAUGCGAUGCAACGCG
rnacentral:rRNA from 1 species